GUACCCUGGCAGGGAGCAGCAGGUGGCGGCGGUGCAUGGGGCCUGACCCCACCAGCGGGCAUUGGCCCAGAGCCACGGCCGGGGGGCCAUCUAGCUGGAGAGAGAAGGGACAGGUGACCCGAUCGGAGCCCAGCCCGGCCCGGACGCCCUAGGCGGGGUCGGGAGGAGAGAGACAGCGAGGGGAGUGGAGGUCGGGGAGAGAAUCUAGGGAGAUCCCGCAAGGGAUCUGGUGAAAAAGCCUCAGCCGAAAGAUCUGGUAGCAGGGUAGCUGAGUGGUGGGUGUCUGCCGCUUGGAACCCCGAAGAGGCGGGGUGAGCCCUAAACCUGGACGGGUAGAUGGGGAGGUACAGGCUCUGCAGAGGGGGCAGCAAGCUUAAUGAACGGGAAAAAGAGGGGUCUUACAUGGGAAGGUGGAUCCGUGGCCCGGGGUGUGGGGACCCCCGUGACAGCUGGAAGGAGAAGAGAGAGGCGUAGGGCGCGUGGAGGGACGGAGGUGGCGCGGCGUGCCCCAGCCUGGGCCCCUGGCCCGCCCCCAGGUGUCCACACACACCCGCAGGCCCACCGCCCCUUGGCGCCCCAGGAACAGGAGGCGGACAGGAGACUCGCCUGCAGCUCCCUCAGCCUGCAGCGACUCCACCUGCUCCUGCAGCUGUCGGAUGUGCUCCUCCAGAUCUCGGUUCCUUUCCUGGGCCUCCCGGAGUUGACUGCGGGAAGGGCCUCCUGGAGAUCUCCCUGCAUCACCUCUGCCUCCUCCACCAACGGGAUGGCCACCUGGAUGAUCUCUGGAGCCACCUCUUGCAUGGCCUUGGGAAUGGUCUCCAGAACUGCGGCUUCAGCCUGCUCUUGGGGACCAGGCUUAGGGCUGCCUGUAGCUUCUGCAGCACUGGACACCUGCACAUAGGUCCCAGGCCUGGCAUCCUCCCUCCACCUCUAGGUCUUUCUGGAAUCCCCACAGCUCCUGCAAUGAUCCAAGUCCCCUCCCUCCCGCACCCCAGUCUCCCCGGGGCCCCUGGCCUUUAGGCAGCUCCCUUCCCACCCUCCUUCCAAAGGGCUUUCCCAAGACACUUCAGUUAAGCCUGCCUGCCCAGCUUACCAUCUUUCUAGCCUCUGUGCCUUCAGGGGAGAAGGCCUGCUGCACAGAGGGCCCUGUUGGCAGGGCCCCACCCUCUCCACCCCAGCAAGGACAGUUUGACUUCACUACCCUCCUUUCAGGCUCAAGAACACAGUAGCUGGUUCCCACCGCAGGGCCUUGACCCUUGAGGUUCUCUCUGCUGACCCCUGGGCAUUUUCCUUCCCCUUCUAGGCCUCCUGUAGGGUUCCCCUCCUCGUAGAGUCCCCUACACACACACACUCACUCAUUCACUCCCUCCCUGCCCUGCAGAAGUAACUUGUCUUAUAUGUUUUUUGUUUCCUGUGGAGUAAGCUCUCAGAGGGCUUAACAGUCCACGGCACUGCAUCCCAGAAGCCUUUGCCUUUUCUCCUGGACUCUGCCCUGACUGACCCUCUCCUCCAAGGACUCACUGUCUCCUCCAGCGGGGACACCAUGGGCUCCAGGCUGGGCGUCUGCCCAGGUGGCUCGAGCAUGGGCUCGGCCUUAGGUUUGGCCUCAGGCUGGACCUCCAGUUCCAUGGGCGUGGGGCCUGGGACCUCAUCAUCCCUGGGAAAGGCAGAAGGCCCUCAGGACAGUGAGGAGGACCAAGUGAAGGGGACCCCACUCAGCUCUGGCCACCUCCAAUAUGGUCAUAAGACUUUCCCAAGACUGACUCCAGAUACCAGCAUGCCCCCCUCACCCCAACUGCUGGAGGGAGACACCGCCCCAGGAUUGAAAUCGCAGUCCCCCCUCCAACCCAGCCACCCUCCCGUGGAAAUGUGUCAAGGACCUGAUGGUGGGGGACAGGCGCCAGCCAGACACACCCCGCGGCAGGUCCCCAGCAUGGGCUCAGCAGAGGAGGGGUUAAGUGAGCCUGAGCCGGUGUGAGGAGACUGGGCCAGGCUCUCUUGCAGUUCAUUCACGAUGAGAAAUGACGGCAGCAAUCCUUGUCUGGUGCAGAACAGGUGGGAAUCCAGCCCGUUCUCACAGUUAGCGUGUGUGUGCAUGCAGGAGGGGGGCCACAGCUGCCAGUGGGCUUCCUCUACCGUUACCUGUAUUUUCUAAUUUAUCUGUGACAAGCAAUCUAUUACUUGUAUAAUUAAUGUUCUUAAAAGGCUUUGUGGUUACAUGAGUGAUUCAGCAAAUUAGUAUUCUUUUCACAUUGACUUAAAAAGCCUCCACUUCUCACUUUCCAAGAUUCUGAGCUCUCAUCACUGUACUGAAGCCUAAGUGGGAAGAUUCUGGAAGGCCAAAUCCGAAGUUCUAAGGUUUUUCACAUAAAUCUAAAAUCUCAAGGUAUUAUGGCCUGAGAUUUUAAGGUCUGACAAAUCUGAACUCCUAAAAGUCUUUGGUCUCAAGACCAUAAACUUCAAGUUUCAUCCUGCAGUUCUAGGGGACCCAAGUGUGCCAGGAGGCAGGACCCCUGAGCAAGCUCCCAGGACUCUGGAGGCCGCACCCCACACCCAUAGGCAGCACUUACCGGAGGGCCAUGCAGGAGUAAGAGAAGCCCACAAAAGGUAGAUGGACUCCUAGCGGCAUGCCUUCCCGCAUGUCUGACAGCGUCUCCUACACGGGGGAAGCACAGGCCUGGGGUGACCAGCCUGGCCCCUCCCCUCUUUCAGGUUUGGCUGAAAUGCCCCCCUGCCAACCUAGCUUGGGCCUAUCUACAAUGGCCCUUUCAUCAUUUUUCCUAUUGAAUCCUGCUACUUCAGGGCACUAGCCACAGUAUCUUUAUAUGUAUCUCUACACGGUGGGUAGAUGAGGGCAGAGCCAGGACACAUGACCUGGUGCGUGUGCUUCCCCAGGAGUGCCCAACAUAAGGGCACCCAGGCUGAGUGAGUACUCGGACAGCUUGACCAACAGUUGAGAGAGAAUGGCCUAAGGAAGAGAGCUUCCUCUAGCCUCUCAUCUUUCCAGCCCAGAUAUCCCCUCCUCCAGGAAGCCCUCCAGGACCUUCCAUGGGGGGCAUCAUUGUCUGAGGACAAGGGUGUGUCCCCCACUGCACUGCGAGUCUAGGUCACUGCUGGGUUCCCAGGCCUGGGAAGGCGCACAGCAGGUGCUCUAGGGAAGGAAGGAUUUCAGAAUUUCUCCUGGUAGGCACUAUUCUGACCCCGACUUUAAGCUGGUGGGAUGGGGGGCGGAAACCCUCUGCUGAACAGGAAUUGUCGGUACCUACCCCGCCCCCGCUCACCAUGGCAGUGAGCCCGUCCUCCACCAAAUCAAAGUUGCACGUGUCCGUGGCACCCUCGAAAUCCGGUGCGAAGGGGGGCACGCUGUCUCGGAGACUGUCCCAGUCGAGACCAAAGAAAAAGGGAUGCUUUCGGAAAUCAUCUGCUCCUUGCCUGCCCAGCCGCGUCUCGGGGGGACACAGUAGUCGCUGGAUGAGGUCGCGAGCCUCCUCUGGGACCCCUGCGUCGGCCAGCGGUAGAGACAGGUGCUCCUGCUCGGAAAGUGAGGGAUGUUGACCUGGGAGCACACUCUCCGAGAGCAACCAGGGGUUCCUGGAGCCGCCCUCACCUUGUAGUGCACGAUCUUGCCAUAGGUCUCCGCCUUGGAGUCGGCAUAGAAGGGCGUCUGGCCGUAGAACAUUUCAUAGGCGAACACACCUAGGGCCCACCAGUCACACU